AAAAGGUCGGAACUUGAAAUGGGAAGUUUUUAUAAAACUUCACCCACGAAAGUUUACCCUAAGCGUCACUUCGCAGCAGGCCGCCAUCAACCAGAGCCCACUCGCUGAGCCAUCCCUCUCCUCUGUUAUUCGCUGCACUCAGCCUUCUCUUCUUCCAUCCUCGUCAACCUCCCAGUAUCACUCUUCACAGAGCCUCCUCGCCUGCUUCACCAAGUACCUCUCUCAUCUCUUUCUCUCUCUUUUCAUUUCUAGAAAAUGGCUUUCUUUCUCAUCUCUCUCUGCAGAACUACUUUAUUCUCUCUCUGUAUCUCUCUCCAUCUAGCUGUGUAUCCCUAGAUCUCUUUCUCUCUCUAUCACCAACCUCCCAUCCGUCAUUGACAUCAGAGCUCCAGGUUCUGCAAAACCGACAUUCUCCAGUCAAGAUGCAGUGACAACAAACGAAUUGAUAAAAGAGCUUAUUGAUUGGAAAAUUAUUCAGGAUGAAAAUGGAAUUUCUUCUUUAACUUCCCAGGAGGUUAUCAAACACAGAAACCAGGAACUUCUUAAGUUCCCAAGAGGUUAUCAAACACAGAAACCAGCAACUUCUUAACUUCUCAGGGAUGUUAUCAAACACGGAAACUAGGAACUUCUUCAGGAACUACUAAUGUAUAGUUCUUCAGAAACUUCCAAUUUACAGUUCAUGAACUUGCUUCCAGUUAUCAAACAGGCCCUUACCUAAUGUCUUUGACAACCCUGUCAAGAAACGUUGCGAAGAAAGCCUCUCCCUGAGAAGAAACCUACAAAGCUUUGCGAAGAGCCUCUUCCUCUCUGUGAAGAAACCUACAUCGCUCUGCGAAGAAGAAUCACUCUUUACUGUUGCAAAACUGAUAUCGCUCUACGAAGAAGAGCCACUCUCUCUGCCAAGAAACGAUUGCUCUGCAAACCAUAUAUAUGCACCAUCAGGCUGCUCAUCUGAACCAGGGUGUAGGGUCUGUUCAAGCAGUAGGCAUUGAAGGAAAUACUUUCCAGUGGGAGGAAAGCUGGUAUGUUUGGUGUCAAGGAUUCAGUUCGCGACAUGGUCACCUCUUGGAACACUACCAAGAAAGAGUUUUGGGGCUUUAGGGGAUUGGAUAUCAUUGCAAGCAGGGCUCCUCUUUCCUUGUCCUUCAAGCUCCACAAUUAUGUAUCAGAGUUGUGCCUCUGUCACUUUAUUACCAUUACUUGUGUCUUUUGACAUGCAAAUGCAGUUCCACACAUGACUGGAUUGGUAUUUGAUAACCAUAGAGAUUAAAUUGCUUAUGACAUAUAUUGGGGGUUUAGAUACUCUAGUGUAGUGAUUUUUAUGGAGUUAUUUCUCGAUGGCUGGUUCUUUGCCAUUACUUUGGUGAAUUUCACUUAAAUGACCAUUUUUUGUACGCUUUUAAGGAUCAAAAGUGACUAGUCCAAUAACUGAAAAUCAAUUUCUAUGGAAAAUCUUAUUAGUUAGUUAUUGGUGUUCUUGCUUAUGAAUCAAUAAUGUUCUGGAAAUUGUUGAUAUUGGGUAUUUUGUCGUUACUAUUUACAUGGAUGGGGGUGGUAUUUGAUAAGCACUGGAUGAAAACAUCUCAGGGUAUAUUUUUAAAUCUUUGGGGGUGCGUUUGUUUGCUGGAAGUUUGCUGGAAGUUUGCUGGAAGAUAAAUGUUCCCUAGAAAAAUAAGUUCUUAUUUGCUGGGAAGGGGACUUAUUUGUUCUGGAAGGUUAAAAUGAGUUCUGGGUACUGUGUUUGAUAGCCUGCUGGAAUUUAAGGAAGUUCUGGUUACCUAUGUUUGAUUACAUGCUGAAAUGUGGAAGUUCUGGUUACAUGUGUUUGAUUCACCCUAGAACUUUUGAACUGGAGACAUGACAACCCUGUUUAAAAUUUAAAUACAAUAUCACCUAGAUCGAUUCACAUCAUUCCAAUAAAUGUAAAUUCUCAAUAGAAGCCUUUAUAGCUAAAAUCUCAAACCAAAACAUGGUCCACAUGACAACAAUGAAACCAAUUUCACAUAAGAAGAACCAGAACCAUGUUCAACAAUCAACAGAUGCAUAUUCAUUUGAUCCUAAUCAGCAGAUGCAUAUUCAACAACAGGUAAUAUAUCACAAAUUUCAGACAUGACUACAAUCAAGCCAAUUUUACAUGAGAAGAACCAGAACCAUGUUCAACAAUCAACAAAUUCAUAUUCUUUUGAUCCUAAUCAGUAGAUGCAUAAGCACCAGAACCAUGUUCAACAAUCCCUCUCUCUCUCUCUCUCUGAAACGACAAACCAAGAAAAUGGAAAUACUUUCCUAAUUGUAAUAAAACAAGGGAAUAAAAAGGGCAAUGAUAAAUUGCAUCUUCAGUGAUACCUAUGAAAACAUGUCUUUCUCUCAUUUUUGAGACUCUAUCAAGCAAAGUCUAAAUAGUCCUCUAUCAACAUAAAAUGCAGCAACAAUCAAACUCAACUCCCAAGCACAUGAACAACUACAAACUUGACAAAAAAUGAUCAAAUAGUCAUCCCAACAAGAGCUCUAUUAAUAACCAUGUUAGACUGUGAGAAAGUACAAAUAAAGUUAGAAGAGUCAAUCCAUCAGCCACUACAUGAUCACCAUUGUGAUACAUAAAUGCUUCAUACUGAAUGAAAUGCCCCAUGAAACAAGUUCGCAACUAGUUGCAUAUAACUCAUUUCCCACUGGAUAACUCAACCUAUGGCACUUCCAAGUUGUUGCAGAAAACAAACGACAAGAACUUCUCAGAUAGUUUCGUGCUUGAAACUAUAUGAAAGUUAGUGAAAUAGGUAAAGUUCAGGUGUUUAGCUUGAAAACUGAUAACACAUGGUCCCAAGACUCAUGGUAGGGGGCAUUUGUUUGAUCUGAAAUUAAUAGUUGAUCUUUACUCAUCCCUAUGAUCAAUGAAAUAGAAUUUGAUUUGUAGCUCACAAAAAGCUAUAAAUCAAUUGACUCUAGACCUUGCAUUUGAGGGAUGGCUCAAAAUCAAUUUGAGUGAGAAAUUUGUAAUGAUUUAUUAUACUGCCUCUGCCACGCUUUAUUGCUAGUUUCAGUUGAAUUACUUGAUUCUUAUUGAUGCAUUAUUAACAGAAUGUUGGUGCAUUCGAUUACUGUUUCUUCAGUCAUUAGAUUAGCCAUGACGUACACUUCUGAGCUCUAGACUAUGAGAUAUUGACAUGGCCAUUAUUAUUAUAUGGGGAGAACUUGUUGGUUUAGAAAGUUAGAUCACGAAGGGUUUAUAGUUUUGAAUGGGGUUUCUUGCAUGGUUAUAUACCUGUUCGUGCACUGAUAUGGAGUGCUGUGUAGCUGUUCUAAAGAUCAUAUUCUUUUGUCUUUCAUUGUUCUUCUAUUAUGAAAAAUUUAUCAGAAAAUUUCUGAUGUUAUGGUAUGUGGUUCUUGUUUUAGUAUUAUCAAUACAUAGAGGUGGACAGAGGUCCAACUUUUUUUUUUUGUAUGAACUUUUUCCUUUUCAAAAUGGAUUUUAUACAAAAUACGUAACGAAACACACCUUAAAUCCUAACGUAUCCCCCCGAACGCACUCCCUCCACGUGAUGCGAUUGAGCCAGACCUCACAUAAGCCAGCCGGACAUGACCUCCCCCUUUCUGCACUUCGAUUCCCUCCACUUUCGACAACUAUGAAUGACCUCCCCCUUUCUGCGCUUCGAUUCCCUCCACUUUCGAUUCUCUCUCUCUCUGUCUCUCUUUCUCU